UACGGAGGGAGCUAGCGUUGUUCGGAAUUACUGGGCGUAAAGCGCACGUAGGCGGCUUUGUAAGUUAGAGGUGAAAGCCCGGAGCUCAACUCCGGAAUUGCCUUUAAGACUGCAUCGCUUGAAUAGUGGAGAGGUCAGUGGAAUUGGGGGUGUAGCGGUGGAAUGCGUAGAGAUCCCCAAGAACACCAGUUGCGAAGGCGGCUGACUGGACACAUAUUGACGCUGAGGCUCGAAAGCAUGGGGAGCAAACAGG
rnacentral:rRNA from 1 species